ensembl:lncRNA novel transcript
GGCGCGCUCGUGGCGGGGACGCCGGCACCCGGCUGCUCACCCGGGACGGCCGUCACACCGGCACUACGGGAAGAAGCCGGCCGGCUAGGGCACGGAGCUCUGGGCUUGCGGGGUGCGGCGCACGCCCCUCCCUCCCACCGCCUAAGGUUUUUCCGAAGCUGCUGGGCGUGCGCCGCGUUUCUGAGGCGGGAGGAGACACUUCCGAGCCAGCUGUGUGACAUCCGUUUACACAGCCGCGCUGACGUCUCGAGGUGCACAACAAGAUCAAACGCUGACAUCAGGAUAGCAGCGAGAGAGAGGCAUUUAUUUGCACAGUGCCAAGCAAGGAUGAUACGACAGCUAAUGCUUAAAUUCUGACCUCUCCAGUGGCUUGCAGAUUCUUGCAGGUGGCUGGUUCCAGAUGGAGUCCAUGACCAGAAUGAGAACUUCAUGCCUGCUCUUUCCCAAUUGGUUAUUUCUGAAUAAUGCUUUUAAAUCAAUCAAAUGUUGCCUUUUUCAAGGCUACCUACAGCCCACACCUCCCCAGUUCUGAGCCUAUAAAAACCUCACACUCAGCCACAUGGGGAUACUACCUGCCUUUGGGUGGGGACAAUCCACCUUCAGGUUGGGGACUACCCACUUCUGGUCCAUCUCUGCUGAGAGCUAUUCUGUCACUCAAUAAAACUUCUCCACCUUUCUCAC